UCAUCAACAGAUAAUGGAAGGCCACUGAAGGCUUUCUGAACAGGAGUAGAAUCUUUUUAUAUUUUAAAACUAGUAGACUACAGUAAGUGAGGAAGAUGGAGGGAUGAAAGACGACAACUUUUGUUCAUUUGUUUGUUUGUUUUGCCUGGGUGACUAUCUGCAUGAUGGUAUCUGCUAGAGAUAGGGAAGUCAGAAGAAAGGGCCAAAUCACUGGAGAAAGAAAAUGCUUUACUUGGACAGUCUGGAUGGGAAGUUCCAGUGAGUCAUCCUGGUGGCAAUGACUGGCAGAUUGUUGGAAAUGGAGGAGCUAAAGCGAGAGAGGCUAAGAAUAGAGAUAUGGAUUUGGGAGUUAGUGGCAAAUAGAGUUAAACUAUGGGAAUGUAUAUGAUGGCCUGAGAAGAAAUUAUAGGAGAAGUAAGAAGGACUAAGGGCUGAGCCUGGGAGACAGGACAUGGAGGGGAAAGGCAGCUGAGAGGAGCCUUGAAGAAGACUGAAGAGGAAUAAUUGCUACUGAGGAGAAGCAAGGCAGUUCAGUGUGAUGGAUGCCAAAAGAUGGAGAAGUCAAGGAGGUGGCCACCUGCUGGAGAGUGCAUGUCUCCACUGCCUUCCUCAACCUCUGCAUGUGGAGUCUGCACUUGACAAGAUCAAUGGCCCAACACCACGUGGAAGCUGCCAAGGCUUGGGGUUUGCACCAUCUGAAGCCAUGGCCUGAACUCUAUGUUAGCCCCUUUCCACCAUAGCUGGAGCUGCUUGGACACAGAGCACCAAGUCCCUAGGCUGCACACAGGAGAAGGAGAGCCGCCCCAUACUAAGACUAGCAAUUAAAACUGCAAGAAGAUAACUUGGCAGGAGUCUCAACAGUGAGGCACACACGAAGUGGAGAGGAACAAAUGCUCUUAUCUCCAGCAAGAGCAAGAAAGUUUGACAGGUAGCAGUUCUCAACACAGAUAGCUGA
rnacentral:lncRNA from 1 species